CACACUAUCAUUAACUGAAUCCAUAGGUUAAUGAGGCGAACCGGGGGAACUGAAACAUCUAAGUACCCCGAGGAAAAGAAAUCAACCGAGAUUCCCCCAGUAGCGGCGAGCGAACGGGGAGCAGCCCAGAGCCUGAAUCAGUAUGUGUGUUAGUGGAAGCGUCUGGAAAGGCGCGCGAUACAGGGUGACAGCCCCGUACACAAAAAUGCACAUGCUGUGAGCUCGAUGAGUAGGGCGGGACACGUGGUAUCCUGUCUGAAUAUGGGGGGACCAUCCUCCAAGGCUAAAUACUCCUGACUGACCGAUAGUGAACCAGUACCGUGAGGGAAAGGCGAAAAGAACCCCGGCGAGGGGAGUGAAAAAGAACCUGAAACCGUGUACGUACAAGCAGUGGGAGCACGCUUAGGCGUGUGACUGCGUACCUUUUGUAUAAUGGGUCAGCGACUUAUAUUCUGUAGCAAGGUUAACCGAAUAGGGGAGCCGAAGGGAAACCGAGUCUUAACUGGGCGUUAAGUUGCAGGGUAUAGACCCGAAACCCGGUGAUCUAGCCAUGGGCAGGUUGAAGGUUGGGUAACACUAACUGGAGGACCGAACCGACUAAUGUUGAAAAAUUAGCGGAUGACUUGUGGCUGGGGGUGAAAGGCCAAUCAAACCGGGAGAUAGCUGGUUCUCCCCGAAAGCUAUUUAGGUAGCGCCUCGUGAAUUCAUCUCCGGGGGUAGAGCACUGUUUCGGCAAGGGGGUCAUCCCGACUUACCAACCCGAUGCAAACUGCGAAUACCGGAGAAUGUUAUCACGGGAGACACACGGCGGGUGCUAACGUCCGUCGUGAAGAGGGAAACAACCCAGACCGCCAGCUAAGGUCCCAAAGUCAUGGUUAAGUGGGAAACGAUGUGGGAAGGCCCAGACAGCCAGGAUGUUGGCUUAGAAGCAGCCAUCAUUUAAAGAAAGCGUAAUAGCUCACUGGUCGAGUCGGCCUGCGCGGAAGAUGUAACGGGGCUAAACCAUGCACCGAAGCUGCGGCAGCGACACUAUGUGUUGUUGGGUAGGGGAGCGUUCUGUAAGCCUGUGAAGGUGUACUGUGAGGUAUGCUGGAGGUAUCAGAAGUGCGAAUGCUGACAUAAGUAACGAUAAAGCGGGUGAAAAGCCCGCUCGCCGGAAGACCAAGGGUUCCUGUCCAACGUUAAUCGGGGCAGGGUGAGUCGACCCCUAAGGCGAGGCCGAAAGGCGUAGUCGAUGGGAAACAGGUUAAUAUUCCUGUACUUGGUGUUACUGCGAAGGGGGGACGGAGAAGGCUAUGUUGGCCGGGCGACGGUUGUCCCGGUUUAAGCGUGUAGGCUGGUUUUCCAGGCAAAUCCGGAAAAUCAAGGCUGAGGCGUGAUGACGAGGCACUACGGUGCUGAAGCAACAAAUGCCCUGCUUCCAGGAAAAGCCUCUAAGCAUCAGGUAACAUCAAAUCGUACCCCAAACCGACACAGGUGGUCAGGUAGAGAAUACCAAGGCGCUUGAGAGAACUCGGGUGAAGGAACUAGGCAAAAUGGUGCCGUAACUUCGGGAGAAGGCACGCUGAUAUGUAGGUGAAGUCCCUCGCGGAUGGAGCUGAAAUCAGUCGAAGAUACCAGCUGGCUGCAACUGUUUAUUAAAAACACAGCACUGUGCAAACACGAAAGUGGACGUAUACGGUGUGACGCCUGCCCGGUGCCGGAAGGUUAAUUGAUGGGGUCAGCGCAAGCGAAGCUCUUGAUCGAAGCCCCGGUAAACGGCGGCCGUAACUAUAACGGUCCUAAGGUAGCGAAAUUCCUUGUCGGGUAAGUUCCGACCUGCACGAAUGGCGUAAUGAUGGCCAGGCUGUCUCCACCCGAGACUCAGUGAAAUUGAACUCGCUGUGAAGAUGCAGUGUACCCGCGGCAAGACGGAAAGACCCCGUGAACCUUUACUAUAGCUUGACACUGAACAUUGAGCCUUGAUGUGUAGGAUAGGUGGGAGGCUUUGAAGUGUGGACGCCAGUCUGCAUGGAGCCGACCUUGAAAUACCACCCUUUAAUGUUUGAUGUUCUAACGUUGACCCGUGAUCCGGGUUGCGGACAGUGUCUGGUGGGUAGUUUGACUGGGGCGGUCUCCUCCUAAAGAGUAACGGAGGAGCACGAAGGUUGGCUAAUCCUGGUCGGACAUCAGGAGGUUAGUGCAAUGGCAUAAGCCAGCUUGACUGCGAGCGUGACGGCGCGAGCAGGUGCGAAAGCAGGUCAUAGUGAUCCGGUGGUUCUGAAUGGAAGGGCCAUCGCUCAACGGAUAAAAGGUACUCCGGGGAUAACAGGCUGAUACCGCCCAAGAGUUCAUAUCGACGGCGGUGUUUGGCACCUCGAUGUCGGCUCAUCACAUCCUGGGGCUGAAGUAGGUCCCAAGGGUAUGGCUGUUCGCCAUUUAAAGUGGUACGCGAGCUGGGUUUAGAACGUCGUGAGACAGUUCGGUCCCUAUCUGCCGUGGGCGCUGGAGAACUGAGGGGGGCUGCUCCUAGUACGAGAGGACCGGAGUGGACGCAUCACUGGUGUUCGGGUUGUCAUGCCAAUGGCACUGCCCGGUAGCUAAAUGCGGAAGAGAUAAGUGCUGAAAGCAUCUAAGCACGAAACUUGCCCCGAGAUGAGUUCUCCCUGACUCCUUGAGAGUCCUGAAGGAACGUUGAAGACGACGACGUUGAUAGGCCGGGUGUGUAAGCGCAGCGAUGCGUUGAGCUAACCGGUACUAAUGAACCGUGAGGCUUAACCUUACAACGCCGAAG
rnacentral:rRNA from 1 species